UGAAUACAAUGAUGAGUACAUAGUUCAGCAGACUUGAUUAUGGUGAACAGUCUUUCGCUCCUAUCUGACGUAUCAA
rfam:Xenopus laevis strain J chromosome 4S, whole genome shotgun sequence.